rnacentral:rRNA from 1 species
GAUGAACGCUGGCGGCGUGCCUAAUACAUGCAAGUCGAGCGAACAGACGAGGAGCUUGCUCCUCUGACGUUAGCGGCGGACGGGUGAGUAACACGUGGAUAACCUACCUAUAAGACUGGGAUAACUUCGGGAAACCGGAGCUAAUACCGGAUAACAUGUUGAACCGCAUGGUUCAACAGUGAAAGACGGUCUUGCUGUCACUUAUAGAUGGAUCCGCGCCGCAUUAGCUAGUUGGUAAGGUAACGGCUUACCAAGGCAACGAUGCGUAGCCGACCGGAGAGGGGGAUCGGCCCCACGGGAAUUGAGACACGGACCAGACUCCAACGGGGGGCAGCAGUAGGGAAUCUGGCGGAAGGGGGGAAAGCCUGACGGAGCAACGCAGCGUGAUGGAAGAAGGUCUUCGGAUCGUAAAACUCUGUUAUUAGGGAAGAACAAAUGUGUAAGUAACUAUGCACGUCUGGACGGUACCUAAUCAGAAAGCCACGGCUAAUUACGG